CUCAAUCUCAACUUUUUAGCCCCAAACCCUAAUUACAUCGGCGACUUAUUAUUUCGUCGAUUCUUGUUUCCUUUCUUGUUAUACACACACACAUAUAUUAUUAUUCUAUUCUAUAAUAGUAUAAUACAUCUUAAGUUCAAGAAUCAAUCAUGAUACAGUCGACAAUCAUCAGAGUGCAGCAGUCUCUUCGUAAUGAUGGUCCAGAAAAUACAGGACGGGAAACAUGGUGUUGCCUGAAAAAUGUGUUCCACGCAUACAAAUUGGGAGUCUGCUGAUUGCUUUUUUACAUCUAUUAGUUUUUUUCAUCUUUCUGCUUCUUCCAUCAUUGUAUUGAUCUUUAUAGCAAUUGUACAGGCCUUGUGGACUCAUUGAAGCUAUACGAAGAAUUGGUGACGUGAUGUUCGUGACAUCAUCAGUCGUCACACAGUUUGAAUUCACCACUAAUGUUUCUUAGCCUCCAUUCAUAUAACAAGAUGUCAAACAAAAGGUUGAUGAUUAUGUUGCUUGUCUUGAGCUGAGAUCUGAAGGAUUUCAAGUUAUAGAUAACAGCUCUGAUGAUCCGGGUGUGCUUAUAAUGCAACUUCUCAUUGAUAACAUUAGUCCCCCAGCCCCUAACAUAACACAUUUCCUGCUGAGAUUUGAUCUUGAUUCUCCUCUAGAAAGAACGGUGUUACAGCCAAAAAUCUAAUUACUCACAUUUUUCUAAUAAAAGCGUUGGAUUAAUUUUCAACUUCAUUGUGUCUUAUAUAUUUUAUGUUAUUUUAAUUAUAUCUGUGGUAUCAGCUGUUUGAAGGUUAUCCUUAUUACUCUGGAAAUGCUACCGAAGCUUACUAUUAAUUCAAUGCUUCAUGAGUUUGGAUUUCAGCUGCUUUAUGAAUUAUGUUUAGAUCCACUCACAAGUGGCCCUACCAUUGAUCUACUUAAGGUACAAAAAAUAUCAAUUUUUUCUAAAGCAUUUGGAUAACAUUGGUGCUGCACCACCAAAAAGAAAUAACACUCAGCCACUUUAUAUAGCUAUCUGCAUCAGGUGUUAGACUUGCUUUAAAUAGUUCAGUUUAGAUCUCCAGAUGCAACAAUGAAGUAUUCAGAGGUUCUUUCUCACACAAAGUUGGACCAGUGACUGCUGAUAUACUUGGGAACUCAUCAACUCAAGAAAAAGGAGGUGGUCAAUUACUUCAUAGAAGGUGGUGAUUGGUUGAUUUACCUAAAUGCAUACCAAGACACACUUAGGCAGAAGUGCAAUUUUGACAAUCCACGGCUGAAUUUGGCAGUGAAGCUGAACUCAUUGAAGUAGGAAGUACCAUUCAGCAGUUACUUCGAUGGGCAUAUAAAACAACAAGGACCUUAAGAGCAGGCUGAACAACUCUAUUUCAGCUUCGAGAAGGCUAUUCCUGAUGCCGUCAUCCUUCUCUCUCUCUGGAUUGAUGCUAUACAUCGUAUCUCGUCAUUUUAUUCGCUUAAGAUGAUGCUGCUCAGUCUUCCAGACGACCCUACUACUGUUCGGAAAUCAUUGUUGAUGGAUGAGCAAGAGAGUGGAGAUUUGGAUCUGUAGAAGGCCUUUUGAACUCAUUGAAGCUGUAUGAAGAAUUGGUGACACGAUGCUCGUGACCUCAUCAAUCAUGACAGUAUGACACAGUUUAAGGCAUUUCUAGCAAUGCUCUUUCAGCAAAGAUGUUCUUCAGAUUGACCAGGAUCAGGCUGAGUUGGCACUUGCAAACUUAUCUAUUAUAAGAAAAGCUUUAUCAAUAUUAGAUUUUGGCCCAUUAUAGAUGCAACUCAAGGUAGUAAAUCUGGUAAAGGUAACGGCCCUGUUUGUUCUGGAUGCAUUGAUUUGUAUUGAUCACGAGAAGUUUUCUUAACCCAACUCCAAAGUAGUGCUUUUCUUUGGUCCUGUCUCACAAGUCUCAGCCACAUUUCAUAUCAGGUCUUCCACUCUUCCGGCUGUCCCGAUGCUUAAAAAUUUGUAGUAUGUAUGAUAUUUUUUGCAAUUAAUUUAUAAUUGUCAAAUAGCAGAUAAAUAGAUAGAUGCAACAUUAAUUAGGAUAUAGCUCUCCACUCCACAAAGUGGGCUCAUUAACUGCAAUGGCCUACUGAUCUAUAAGCCAACCCAUCUAAUCUGUGACCAAGAUUCCUUGUUGGAUCCUUGAAGGAAACCUGAACCCUGUGGAACAUCAUUGAUAUAUGUAUGCUUUCUACACUAAGUAUCACGUGUGGGUGACUACAUAUAACAGCCUAAAAGCUUGGCUGCCGGGUCAUGGUGAAAGGAGCACAAUAAAGAUGGGUUGGCUUGUCCAUUUGGAGCAAAAGGUUGAUAUCAUGAUCUGUUAACUUUUAUUUUGAAAGAAACCCAAUGUGCAGGACAUGAAUAAGCCAGACAAUGCUGUAUAGUAUGUGUUAGUGUGUUACAAGAGAGCUGUCCGUGUUAACCCAGAAGUUACCGAUGCCUUAUCUUCCAGGAGGAAUAAACUAGACAGAAAAACAUUGUUAAUCCUCUAAAAAGAGUAGCAACUUGAAAUGCCAGCGUUGAAAUCUCAGCUUGAACUUUUCAUCAAGUCAUGUAAGACAUUAAAAUCUCAGCAUUAAGCAAUACUUUGCAUUGCUCAAAGACUUUUGGGAGUACACCUUUUGUAUGGAGACCGAUAAAGGAAUGUUACAACGCUCAAAUAAAGCUCUCAAUUGGUGGAAACAGAGAGGAAGGGGUGAUCAGUAGUAAGAAACGUGGUGUUUAGCAGGAGCUUUGAUUUAAAAUCUUCUUACGUGUGAGGAAAUAGAAUCAUAAUUGUACACUAAUACCUGCUGAAUAUAUACCUGGUGACUUUCAUUCGGUUAUUUACCAUUCCACUCUAAAUCAAGGUCAGAGGAGAAGGCAUAGAAAACAGCAGGAGUCAUAGGCGAGAAGUGGGUUUAAUCAUCGGAUUUAAGAGUUAACAAGGAGGGUGUCAUCUUGCUAGGAUUGAUAUCACCAUUGGAGUUGAGCCUGAGUCGAGGAUUGUCAAGUAUGGGUCAAAAUAAUAGCUAACGGGUACAAUGUGGAUAAAGAAGGCGAGCGCAUGAAACUUUUUAUCAGCGUCUGAAACGCCUACAAUUAUAUGGAUCCAUGUGCAUUGUUUUUUGAACGGCAAUGGUGAUUAGACUCAGCGGCAUGCCUCUUCAUCGUCCGGUAGAGAUUGACCAUGUCACCAGCAUAGUCAAUCCAAGGGCAUGACUGGCGGUGGAAGUCCCAUUACCUGUUCUGGAGAAAACUAGCUAAUGCUAGAGAAAACCCCCAUGCUCCACCUCAUUGGCAAAGACUUCCCAAUAUGCCUUUCAAAGGUUUUGAACCCGUGACCAACAUUUGGCUGAAAGACAUAAGAGGCAUUAAAUGUCCAGUUGGGCUAAAUCCCAAGGACAGGAUCCAUGUGCAUUUAAAAAUACUUGUGGUAUAAAGUUGGAUUUUUGGGAACUUGUACAAUUGUAAACCAUAUAGUUGUAGACCCAGUAUAGGUAUACCGAGUCAACUACCCUCCACAUGCAUGUCAUUGUGGCGACCAUUGACAUGACACUACCCGUGGCGGUGUGAUCAGUCCACAACGUCUUUAUCUUUGUUAUGUGAUAUUUGAUUAUGCUCGUAGGAGAGCCUUUAUGAAUAUAUGGGGAGGCGUAUGGAUGCAUCCUAAGUUAUGAUAUGAUUAUUUUGUGAGCAUGUGAUAUAGUGCCAUACACACCUUCCGGGUUGGGCUUAUGGUUGCAUUAGCUUUUGAAGUGGAAGAAUGCUAAUUUCGUCGGCUAACGUAUCAAAAUAACAGAUUACGUUCAUCACCAUCCGAGAUGAUCAGGGUAGUCGGUUGUCUUAUUUGGGUCUCGCAACAUCUAACGUUGAGUAGACAUCCAAAGAAAAACGUUACAGUCUCUCUCUCUCUCCUCAAAUGGGAUUACCGAGGAUCGAAUCCUUGCUUUGUGGGUAAAAGCCGGAUGUAUCGUCAGUUGAUCCCUAUAUGCUAAUAUAAAAUAUAUAUAUAUAUAUAUAUAUAGCUAGUUUAACCAUAUUGUAUCCAUACUGGUAUUAGUUGCAUAUAAAACUAUAAGUAAACAUUUGUCCAUCAAAACCAAAAGUUACAGGAAUUAUAAAACAACAUAUUGGUAUAUUA